rnacentral:rRNA from 1 species
AUUGAACGCUGGCGGCAGGCUUAACACAUGCAAGUCGAGCGGUAGCACAGGGGAGCUUGCUCCCUGGGUGACGAGCGGCGGACGGGUGAGUAAUGUCUGGGAAACUGCCUGAUGGAGGGGGAUAACUACUGGAAACGGUAGCUAAUACCGCAUAACGUCGCAAGACCAAAGAGGGGGACCUUCGGGCCUCUUGCCAUCAGAUGUGCCCAGAUGGGAUUAGCUAGUAGGUGGGGUAAUGGCUCACCUAGGCGACGAUCCCUAGCUGGUCUGAGAGGAUGACCAGCCACAGUGGAACUGAGACACGGUCCAGAGUCCUACGGGAGGCAGCAGUGGGGAAUAUUGCACAAUGGGCGCAAGCCUGAUGCAGCCAUGCCGCGUGUGUGAAGAAGGCCUUCGGGUUGUAAAGCACUUUCAGCGAGGAGGAAGGUGGUGAGCUUAAUACGUUCAUCAAUUGACGUUACUCGCAGAAGAAGCACCGGCUAACUCCGU